GGGGCUGUGGCUCAGUGGUAGAGCAUUUGUUAUACACACAGAAGGUCCAAAGUUCAAUCCCCAGCAUCUCCA